AUGUAGAAAAGAAAUACUUAAAUUACAGAACUAAUUUAAGCUAAGCAUUCAUAAGCUGCAUUUCUGUGUUGUUUAUUUUCAUAGACAUUGUUUGACAGCAACCCUUCCUUUAAAUCAUCACUGUCACAUGCAUUUCAUGAUUCUCCAGUGAACAGGAUGGCUACUAGCAGGCUGCUACCUUUUCUGUUUGCUUAAGUCUGUGCAUAUGCCAAGGCUUGUUUCAUGUGCUGUGACUCUUCAACUUUGCCUUCACCCAGGUUAAUGUAAAUACCAGAUCCAUUGUCUGCAUUCCACUAACUUCAGUAGUUCUAAACCUUCUGUCUAAGUUGCCCUUGAAAGGCUGCACUUGUUUUGUGAAGCAUGCUGCAUGAAGGAUGUUA